ensembl:lncRNA
AUGCAUAGUCACACACAACAACGGCAGCCACAGCAGCAGUGCGAGACCCGCACGAGAAACAGAACAGCUGAUUCGAACGAUACGCGAGGGAAAGGCAAUCAUGCAAUCGGAGCUUACUCUCUCCAAUGUCCACACCUGAUGCCGGAAGCAGCCACAGUACAGCGUUCGCGACGCGUAAGUGACGUUGACAAUGACGCUGACCUCAAGCACAGCAGGUCUACCGCCCUUUAUAUCCCCAUAAUGACAGCCAAUUGGCUUACGACCCACAUAAUUAUUAGGGAAAGUAAUGGGCUUCCCCACCACACAAGCAAAAGUUUAGAUCACAUUCACUGCUGACCAUGCUUUUCCACAUGGCCUCCAUCACAUCUGCAUCUCCAUUAGGAGCGGAAGCUGCAGUCCAGUAGAGGUGGUUAAUAACAGCUGGCCUUCACUGCUUCAGAUCUUCUUCACACUCCCUCAUUACUUGCUCAAUUCUUGCUUCAGUAUCCCAUGUUGAACUGCAUCAUAUCGCCGGGCUGAUAAUUAAGUAAGUUACACACCACCGCAUCUCUCGAAGCAGAUGCAUUUGUGAAGUCCCGUCUCUUCACCUGCACAAACACACACAGGCCCAGAAGAUACCGUCCUAUUUCUUGUUAGGAAACCUGUGGACUCGAUGUCCUGACAGGCUGGACCACAAACGCAAUAAUUUACCAUGACGAUGAUAAAUUGAAAUAAAAUAACUACUGAAAACACACUGACUGACGUCCACUCAAAAUAGAGCACAGCACACUCUUGUGACAUAAUAUGACGCGAUGUUAGAAAUUUUUUUUUUUUUUUAGAACUGUCAAGGAAACCAUCACUUUUUCUUCUAAAAUUGUAUCCUCACGUCUUGUAAAACAAUUCAAAUCCUGCAUUAAUGGUUCAUAUGGUAUUUUCAUACAAGGUUAUAUAUUAAUUAGAAUUAUUAUAUUUUUUUUUACCUGCAAUAUAUACUUUAAGACAUAACUAAGUGAAAACUUGCCAAGAUGGACAUUUAGACACAUUUUUUUGUGACUAUUUGUCCAUUUAAGCGCACACCUGAAACCCAAAGUAGCCUACACUAGUCUGUCUUUCAGAUCACAUGCACAGAAAGUUGCUUGGGAAAGCAACAUAUAUUCUAUAGCUGAAUACAAGUUUAUUUAUUUAUUUAAUUUGAGCAUGUCCAGCACAAGACUGUAUAUUAUGACAGUCACAUAAGGUUACAUGAUUUGACUAAUUUGGAUGUUAUUUUAGGAAGUGUGAAAAAGUGUAAAAACUUUAAAGUGUGUAUUUAAAAGUGUGCCACUUUAAAGGAAAGGAACAGCAUGUGGCAUUGUGUUUUCAUAUGCGUUGGAAACUAAAAUCAAAAACCAAUCUAAAAUUCUAUUAAUCGCAGAGCCCUAGAUUCAUCAUUGUAAGCAAGGUGGCCCCAUGGAGGUUAAAGGGUCCAAUGCAACUUGAGUACUUUUUAUCUUUGGUUGCAAGACCGUGACAAUGGCCGUCUUUGAACCUCUCUUACUGUAUGACAUAGGACCACCGAUUAGGAGCCACGAUCACAGAAAUCGCCACGAUUGUUUCACAAUGCCAAUUUUUCAUCUGGGACAGCCGAAAAUUGUCCGGUGUGCCUCGGGAUUAAGGAUGUUCGACCCUAUUCCCACUACACUGCCCAUGCCUCCUCUGUGGCAGACACUCAUGGUGCUUUCCACCCUCACACUUAUGUCUAUGUUUUGAAUGUUCAGGGCAUGGUGUCUAGAUCCUGACACUUAAGUGUAGACUCAUACUCUGCACAUUUCUGUCUGUCUUGUGUUUUGCUUUCUGUUUGGGCACAUAGAAGAUGAGGUUGUUUACCUGCCAUGUGCUCUUCAGUCCUAUGUGUUGCUUUCUAUUGGAGCACAUGGUUUUUAGUGGCGUCUGUUUGUCAUGACCUCUUACGUGUUGUCUUAAGUGUUUGUGUGAGCACAUAGCUUAUUUUUGUUGUUUCUAAGUGCCAUGUGCUCUUCUUUCAGGCUUUUCUCUUGGCUCUGCCCCUUGUCACAUUUAGCCUACCUUUUUAUUAGUUAAUUUGCCCCAUCUGCUGUUCCUUGUUGCCCUCCUUAAUUUCCUUCCAUUCAGGGGGCAUUUACACAACAACAUUUUCAACUAAAAAGUGAAAACUUGUUAUGUGUUUUGGCCAUCCAUUUACACUACAAUGGCAUUUUGGGGGCCUGAAAACGCAAAUGGGGUUUAAAGAACAAGUUUGUGAUAGUGAUAACAAUAUUGUUUCCAUACAAACUGCAAAAAAAAAAAAAAAAAAAAAAACUUUGAGAAAACAGUGACGUAUUACAUGUUCAGUCUAUAGCAAUGCAUAUGUGCCGCCGUGCUUGCUACGGCGGCACAUAUACUAAAAUUGGAUCGAUACAGAGAAGAUUAGCAUGGCCCCUGCGAAAGGAUGACACGCAAAUCCGUGAAGCGCUCCAUCUUUUUAGGGGGAGUCGUGGCCUAAUGGUAAGAGAGUCGGACUCCCAAUCGAAGGGUUGUGAGUUCGAGUCCCGGGCCGGCAGGAAUUGUGGGUGGGGGGAGUGCAUGUACAGUUCUCUCUCCACCUUCAAUACCACGACUUAGGUGCCCUUGAGCAAGGCAUCGAACCCCCAACUGCUCCCCGGGCGCCGCAGCAUAAAAUGGCUGCCCACUGCUCCGGGUGUGUGUUCACAGUGUGUGUGUGUGUUCACUGCUCUGUGUGUGUGCACUUCGGAUGGGUUAAAUGCAGAGCACUAAUUCUGAGUAUGGGUCACCAUACUUGGCUGAAUGUCACGUCACUUUUAUGUGCGCAGGCGCGUAGUACUUUUUUUACAAAGUAGCAUCGCCAACUACUGGCCUGGCAUGAAUAAUAAGUUUUAGUUGUUUUCACAAUAAGGAUUGUUUUGAUGUUUGCUUUGUGUAUGUCUGUUUAUCACUCCCUGCUCCUUACUUGUUUAGUAAAGUUUUUUUUUUUUUUUUUUUUCAGUGUUGCACUACUACGGGUCAUUUUUCAGCCAAGUGUACAGUGUACAGUUUUGUUAUAAGCCCAGAAAGAAGCAAAGUAGGUGUAGCAUGUUGUCACAUGAUCUUAUCAGAUUAAAAUUUCUUUUGAGCAAUGAUAUAUUUAGACAUUUAUAAAAGGGAGUUGUGUGAAUUAGUUAUUUUGCAUGUUAUUGAACUAUACUGAAAUAAAGAGAAAUAGAUGAUCACAUGUGUUUUUGAGUUUACUAGCAAAUCAUGUUACCACAUUACUAUGUAAAAACACCUGCUAAAGAUAAUAUGACCGCAGUCACACAGCAAGCAGCUCUACAUUUUAAUCAUUAAUAGAUUAAUUCCUGCCAGGGGCAUUCAUGAAUGUGUCUGACUGUCCUCACACAGUGAGGCCGGCUGAAGACUACUAUUUCAGCAAUGUGUAAUUACACAGACAGACAGAAGAGAACAAAAGAUCAGAUGAC